rnacentral:tRNA from 1 species
GUGUCUGUAGCCUAGUGGUAAAAGGCAGCACUCUAGAUGCUGAGGUUGUGGGUUCGAAUCCCACCAGAUACA